rnacentral:rRNA from 1 species
GGACUACCAGGGUUUCUAAUCCUGUUUGCUCCCCUAGCUUUCGUGUCUCAGCGUCAAUUAAGGCCCAGGAACCCGCCUUCGCCGCCGGUGUUCCUCCUGAUAUCUGCGCAUUUCACCGCUACACCAGGAAUUCCGGUUCCCCCUACCCAAUUCAAGACGCCCAGUAUCCGUUGACCUCUCCCGGUUAAGCCGGGAGAUUUCACAACAGACUUAGGCAUCCGCCUACACACGCUUUACGCCUAGUGAAUCCGAAUAACGCUCGCAACCUACGUCUUACCGCGGCUGCUGGCAC